rnacentral:rRNA from 1 species
UGAGUAACGCGUAAGAACCUGCCCUUGGGAGGGGAACAACAACUGGAAACGGUUGCUAAUACCCCGUAGGCUGAGGAGCAAAAGGAGAAAUCCGCCCAAGGAGGGGCUCGCGUCUGAUUAGCUAGUUGGUGAGGCAAUAGCUUACCAAGGCGAUGAUCAGUAGCUGGUCCGAGAGGAUGAUCAGCCACACUGGGACUGAGACACGGCCCAGACUCCUACGGGAGGCAGCAGUGGGGAAUUUUCCGCAAUGGGCGAAAGCCUGACGGAGCAAUGCCGCGUGGAGGUGGAAGGCCUACGGGUCGUCAACUUCUUUUCUCGGAGAAGAAACAAUGACGGUAUCUGAGGAAUAAGCAUCGGCUAACUCUGUGCCAGCAGCCGCGGUAAU